AGUGAACGCUGGCGGUAGGCCUAACACAUGCAAGUCGAACGGCAGCACAGUAAGAGCUUGCUCUUACGGGUGGCGAGUGGCGGACGGGUGAGGAAUACAUCGGAAUCUACUUUUCGUGGGGGAUAACGUAGGGAAACUUACGCUAAUACCGCAUACGACCUACGGGUGAAAGCAGGGGAUCUUCGGACCUUGCGCGAUUGAAUGAGCCGAUGUCGGAUUAGCUAGUUGGCGGGGUAAAGGCCCACCAAGGCGACGAUCCGUAGCUGGUCUGAGAGGAUGAUCAGCCACACUGGAACUGAGACACGGUCCAGACUCCUACGGGAGGCAGCAGUGGGGAAUAUUGGACAAUGGGCGCAAGUCUGAUCCAGCCAUACCGCGUGGGUGAAGAAGGCCUUCGGGUUGUAAAGCCCUUUUGUUGGGAAAGAAAAGCAGCAGGUUAAUACCCCGCUGUUCUGACGGUACCCAAAGAAUAAGCACCGGCUAACUUCGUG
rnacentral:rRNA from 1 species